rnacentral:lncRNA from 1 species
AUUGGUGUAUGUUUCUUCAAUCCCGUUGCCAAUCCUUAGCAGAAAAUCAGAGUACCAACAAUCAUUCUGUGCUCUCAUGUUCUGUUGCAGUCGUAUCAUCCGUACCUUGUCCCAUAUAUAUGAGCGUCGUAGUGUCGCAUUAGUGAUCUGGGCUCUUGUCCCGCGAGGCACAACAGGAAGAACCCUUCCAAAGUCUCCUCCAAACACCAUAACCUUACC